CAGCUGCGCAGCGGGCACAAAGCGAACUAUUCUUUCGCCUUUUACUAAAGAAUACCGUGUGCACACUACGAGAUCUGUAAGUAAAUUAUCACGUGCCUCCAUAUUUUUAAAUGCC